GUUUUCCCGGCAACCAAACAGACCGUUUAAGAUAUUUACAAAGAUGCGUUCAGAUCAAUGCCUCUCGCUGAAGAUAAACUUUGGCCUGCAGACAACCGGUCUCCUCGAUGAUCAACACGACCCCGUGUUCUGACAAUUCCACCACCGCGUCCUGAAUGUAACAGUUUAAGUCAUAUAAACCCUAGGUAGCCGGAGAAGCGAAAGUUCCGAGGAGAUAGCAUUCGCUCCUCGGGGUGAAGGCAAAGAGAGGGGACAAACCUGAUGGCGCUUCCACCGGACGGAGCUGAGGGCGUCGACCAUGCCUUGGACGUUGUCGAGCUGACACACCAGAUCGGCGGCUUCCGGCUCCACCGUCGAGCUCAUUUUCCCCCUUCCCGCCAAAAUCCUUUCCAGCGCUUCCCAGUUACCGAAUACUUUAUGGUUCACUCUCUGGGCACUCCAUGCUUGUAAGCUCCGUCAACGGCCCUGAUCUUGCCUCCUCAUCAUCAUCAGUCUGAUCGCCGCGUUUAUUUUUAAAAUUAAUUAACUAUUGUUUAUUUAUACAAUAGUUAUAUUUAUGGAUGUUUCAUUCACUCACAAAAUAUCACCAAGCACAACAUUUAUUUAACGACAUAAAUGAAAUGAUAUUUUUAUUCUAA